rnacentral:rRNA from 1 species
AGCGAACGCUGGCGGCAGGCUUAACACAUGCAAGUCGAACGGGCACUUCGGUGCUAGUGGCAGACGGGUGAGUAACACGUGGGAACGUACCUUUCGGUUCGGAAUAAUCCAGGGAAACUUGGACUAAUACCGGAUACGCCCUUCGGGGGAAAGAUUCAUCGCCGAUAGAUCGGCCCGCGUCUGAUUAGCUAGUUGGUGAGGUAAUGGCUCACCAAGGCGACGAUCAGUAGCUGGUCUGAGAGGAUGAUCAGCCACAUUGGGACUGAGACGCGGCCCAAACUCCUACGGGAGGCAGCAGUGGGGAAUAUUGGACAAUGGGCGCAAGCCUGAUCCAGCCAUGCCGCGUGAGUGAUGAAGGCCUUAGGGUUGUAAAGCUCUUUUGUCCGGGAAGAUAAUGACUGUACCGGAAGAAUAAGCCCCGGCUAACUUCGUG